GGGAUUUCAAAAAAAAUUUCUGAAACUGUACAUUUCGUUUUCGUUUAGGGAUUUCAAAAAACUCGCAGAAGAAACGCCCAAGACCGCCGCCGUUGAAGCCACAGUACCUGCCGCCGUUGAAGCCACAUUGUCUGCCACUGUUAUUCACUUCUUCAUCGUCAUCGUCUAGACUCCGACUAUUCAGAAGCUUCAGUUAUAAGUGGUGAUGUGCCAGUUGGAAUUGAAGGCGUCAGUAAUCAAGGUUGACAGGUUUAUCCAUUUUGAAUCAGUUCUCUCGAUUUGCAAAAGAUAUUAAAGUGCUUCUGCGCGAUGAAGUUUAUGUUGUAAAUGUUCUAGGAAGUUGCUGGUUUUAGAAGAAAGCAAAAGAUGGUAAGAACAAAAAACACAAACCAUUCCUCAUGGAGGCACAUCAUUAUCCGGAGUCCAAUUUCGAGACGUACAACAUAAAAAACAAUACAAAGAGAUGACGAAAAGAGAUAUUUGUCUUGGAAGAAGUUUAGAUUUAGGAUUUAUAACUAGUUUGGGUUUAGGUGAUGAGAUUAAUGGUUGGAUCUGUAAUUUGAAAUGGGACCAGUUGGUGAGUAUUAGAUAUGACGGAUAUAAGCAUUUGAUUUAUGAGUUUUUUAGUAGUUUGGAAGUUGUGGAGACAAGUACUGAUGAUUUUUUGGCGUAUACAAUUUUUUUAGAUUAAAGAAUCAGAAUUGUGUAGUGAGGCCACAGGACUUAUCAAACUGGAUAGAGAUUGAUUUUGAAGGUUUGGAUAAUGUAUCCAGAACGUGGGAUUCCAAACAAGCUUGGACAGAUGUUUCUAGAAUAGGGGUUUAUCAUCCACAUAGGUGUAAAUCUACAAAGUUAAAGAAUCCUGCCAUGAGAGUUUUUCACAGAUUUCUGACAUUCACAUUUAAUGGCAGGAAAGAGACAAAUUGAAAUGUGACAGUCAAGGAUUUAUUGUUGAUGGAAGCAGCAAUAACAAGGAAGCAAGUAAAUUUAGCAAAGUUAUUGAUUAAGAAGUUGGGAGAGAUUAAAGCAGAAAAAUGUGACAUUUAUUGGGGGAUGCUUGUUACGCUAAUGUGUGAAAAGUUGGGUUUUGAGAUCACCCUUUCAGAUGAAGCCAAUAAGAUAACAUUUUCUGCAAAUAAUUUGUUGGGGAAUGUCACAUUGUCUAAAAUGGGUUUGAUUAAAAAGAAUGUGUCAAGAGAAUGAUUGCUGAUUAGGGAUGAAAUAGAGGAAGAGGCAACGGUUCAGGAAGGUGUCCCUAUUCCAGAAAGGGAAAAUGAAGGACGAGUCUAUGUGCGCAAAAGAAGAAGAACGAGUAUUGAACCUGGAUCUUCUCAGAAUGUGGAAGAAAUGUCUUCUCAUACUUUAGACAAAAUAGUAAGCAGAAUUGAUCGGAUCGAAAAGUUUCAAGAAUAGAGUUUUUCACGUAUUAAGAGAAAAAUGCAGGAACAACAGGAUCAGUUGCAAAGUGAUUUCAACUCGUUCGCAUCAAGAAUAGAAGAAACGGUUGACAUCCUUGGGGAACGCAUGACAGAAAUAUCCAACAUGAUGAAGAAAUUUUCACCAGCGUCCUCCUCCUUCAGUCAACCUCGGCCCUUUACAUUAGGAUGAAGAACUACUGAACAACCUCCACCUUCUCAACAUCCUUGGGGAACACACUAUGAAUGUUAAUUAUCAUUAUGUGUAGUUCAGAUACUAAACUGUAUGUACGCAAAUAUGUUAAUUAAUAAAGUUUGAUUUCACAAGAUGUUGUCAAUU